rnacentral:rRNA from 1 species
GACGAACGCUGGCGGCGUGCUUAACUCAUGCAAGUCGAACGGAAAGGCCCUGCUUUUGUGGGGUGCUCGAGUGGCGAACGGGUGAGUAACACGUGAGUAACCUGCCCUUGACUUUGGGAUAACUUCAGGAAACUGGGGCUAAUACCGGAUAGGAGCUCCUGCUGCAUGGUGGGGGUUGGAAAGUUUCGGCGGUUGGGGAUGGACUCGCGGCUUAUCAGCUUGUUGGUGGGGUAGUGGCUUACCACGGCUUUGACGGGUAGCCGGCCUGAGAGGGUGCCCGGCCACAUUGGGACUGAGGUACGGCCCAGACUCCUACGGGAGGCAGCAGUGGGGAAUAUUGCACAAUGGGCGGAAGCCUGAUGCAGCAACGCCGCGUGCGGGAUGACGGCCUUCGGGUUGUAAACCGCUUUCGCCUGUGACGAAGCGUGAGUGACGGUAAUGGGUAAAGAAGCACCGGCUAACUACGUG